CUGAAGUUGCGCCAAUGAAUUUGCCCUAGUAGUUUAUCCUGUGUAAGUCUUUUGACUUUAAAAGAAAAUGAAGGCAAAAUGAACUUUCGCCAGAGCACGAACUUGCGCCAUCAAGUGAUGCUUCCGUUUGUCCUCUCUUCUCACUCCUAGUUAACAAGAACUUGUGCCAAGUGAAUUUGCGCCCAGGUGAGUGAAGUUGCGCCUCGAUGGAGAAGUUGUGCCUCCAGUGUGCAUGGCUUAAAAAAUAUUCCAACUAGAAGGAACUUGCGCCUCCAUGUAGAAACUUCCUUGUUCUCA
rnacentral:lncRNA from 1 species